GGGAUCAAAGGCUUCCAGGAGUGGGGGGCAGGGAGCAGAGAGCAGGGCCUUCUUAGACCCCAAAGCCAGGAAGGGGUUCGAAACUCCUCGGAGUCUCUGGUUCUCAUCUGUGGAGAGACUCACCCUCUCCCUGGAGAACAACUACCAGUGAGAGAGGACGGGAGUUGACAAAAGCCUAGCGCAGAGCACAGUAGGGAUGGAUUCUUUCAUUCAUCCAUUCCACAUUUUUUUUUUUUUUUUGCUUUUUAGGGCCGCACCCAUGGCAUGUAGAGGUUCCCAAGCUGGGGGUCGAACUGGAGCUAUAGCUGCCAGCCUACACCACAGCCACAGCAACAUGGGAUCUGAGCCGCGUCUGUGACCCACACCACAGCUCACGGCAAGACCAGAUCCCCAGUCCACCGAGCGAGGCCUGGGAUGGAAGCCGCCUCCUCAUGGAUACUAGCUGGAUGUGCCUCCGCUGAGCCCUCUUAGGAACUCCCCAUUCCACAAACAUUAAUUUAGCAGCUGCUAUGGGCUGGGUGCUGUUCUGGGCACGGGGAAUAAUACAAGGACGACGGCGUCCGAGGGCUAUCGAGACAAGCGGAGCAGGGGACGGGGUGGCGACAGGAGGAGGCAUGGCCAUCUGAAAUCGGGGCCGGGGGAGGCUUUCCUGAGGAGGACACGGCUGCAGCAAAGACCUGCGGGAAGCAAGGGGGCCUGAGCGCGCGGAUCGCAGCAGAGGAGACGGCAAGUGCAAAGGCCUGACGUCAGGGUUUGAGGAACAGCGCGAAGGCCAGAGGCUCUGGGGCAGGAGACGUUGUUUGGGGCCACAUCAUGCAGGCUCUGAAGGCAUUUACAAGACCUCUGGCUUUUACGCAGAGUCAGGGAGCCCCUGGAGGCCUUCCAGACAAGAGGCGACACAAUCUUUAUAACCGAUCAAUACACUUCAGCCGCCUCUUCCCCUCAAAGCCACAUUCACUACUCAGAGCCGCGCCCUCCAGCUCAUAUGCUUCCUCUUUUCUCGGAUUCCUUCCAGUCUUUCUAAAUCUAUCCCAACCAGGAGACCUCCUCAUGGUCUCUGCCAAGCGCAGGCUGGAAAGGGGCUUGGCGGAGAGACUGCGGUUGGGAAGACAGAGGAACAGAAGCCUUUGCCCUCCCUUGGUGCUUGGGAGGCCUCUGGGCCGGGCGCAGCUGCGGCGGGCACACCCACGGGGUGCACAGAGAUGCCAAGGACCCUGGCGGAGUCCCAGGGCUGCCACUUCAUCGGCGAGAGCUCGCCACAGAACUGGGGAUGCCGCUUGGCGCUUCCUCGCCCGGCCUGUCUACCAAGAGGUGAACUCACUUGUUUUAAAUUGAGAUGAUUGCUGUCUCUACCAGCAGCUCCUAACCUUUUGUUGGGUCCCCUGCCCCUUGGAGAAUCUGCGGAAAGCUACACGCUGUCUCUUCAGACGAGGAAGAAGGGUGCGCAUUCAUGCGCCUAUGACUUCAGGGCUGUCACAGAUCCCUGAAAAGUCAAGGAAAGCCUUGUCUAUGCCAAUGAUUUCCCAGGCUGAGGCUCCAGUGGAAUGAAGGAAUGAAUGAAUGAAUGAACAAGUGAGGAGCAGAGAAGCUGCACGCAGAUGGAGGAACCCAAGGCAGGAAAAGGACAGGUACGUGGCAUCUCUGGGCACCGGGCUUCCUGCUGAUGGUUCCCGACGCCUUCAAAGAAGCCAGCUGAGCUGUGACAUGUGGUCAGGCCUGGCUGGACAGGUGUCCUCAGAGAGGUCACCUUUCUUGCUGAAGCUUCAUCUAUUGCUCUCGACCCGCCCCUCUGAGCAGCCGUCUUUCUAAAAAGUAUCACACACGUUCCUGCCAUUCCCAGGGCGCCCGGAACAAAGCAGAACCUUUUCUGGAUGACUGGGGGCAACAGGAGGCCACCACCUGCUGGUCUUCCGAGAGCUCUCAUCCCUCUGCCUGUGUCUCAGCACCCCAACCUCCUCAGAGGGAUCCAGAGAGCUCUGUUUCCUGCCUUGGAAAAUCCAGUGGCGCCUACGACACCCAUGGCACUCAACCACGGCGCCUAUGACACCGUGUUUCUGAAUUCAGCCCUUAUGGCACUGUAGUCCCAAGACACCGUCGAUGGUCAUUAUUCAAGGGUUGUGCCUGUGCAAAUCCACCUACUCACUAAAAUUGGCGUGGAACCCCAAAUCUAUGCUCGAGGUGCUUUCGCAGUCACUGGCAGACAUACGCAGACGAGCGAUCUGAGUUCCCCUGUAAGCGUGUCAGCAGCCGAGGCAGAAAGGGGAACGCUGCCUUCUUGCAUCCGCUCCCAUACGACGACGAGUGUCCGGUUUACCGCCCAUGUAGCGUCAUGAACUUUGCAUUUUUGCGCUUUUCGUCAGUCAUUUCACCGGGACCCGCCUUACGGGGAAAACAAGGGCGUUAGAUAAGCUUCCUUCAGGCGAGACUCACAGGGCUGUUGGCCGGGAGUUCAAUGUCACGGAAUCAACAAUGUAUAUUAAAUGAGGUUGUGUGAGAAACACACAUAAAACAACGUUACACAUCAACAGGUGGAUAAAAUGCCGAGACCAGAGGCUCGCAGGCGCCCCACACCGUGUCUCCCUUAAUUUCACUAAAUCGGUGUCUGGUGUCUGCAGACCGUCAUAGAACUGAACUACCACCACCAACGAGAAUCAGCGGGACUUUUCUAGAGACUCCGAUGCUCUCACCGUUUGGAACAUACCUUCCACAUUCCUUUGACGCUUUAAAAAAUAACCAUCUGCUCUUACAUGAAAAGCGCUUUUCCAGACCCAUAAACCAGGGCUCUAGAGGGCUGUGUCUCCGUGGACACUCGUCAUGUACCUGCCAACUGACAGACAAUUUGGUCAUUUCCUACUGUCCAGUAUUACAAGCGACACUAGGAUGAGCAUCCUUAUUGGCGAUAAGAAAACAGCCAACAUUUAUUCAGUACUUACUGUGGGCCCCGCCCUCUGCUAAGAGUUUUGUUGAGUCUCAUCUCAUUGAGUUUUGUGAAUAAGCUUACAUAUAAAUUUAUGCAUAUAAA
rnacentral:lncRNA from 1 species